AUUAGUGAGAGAUCAGGUUCUGAUUUGGGAGUUUGAGAGAGUGGGUCAGCACAUUAUUUAUCAUGCCUGCUUGUGGGUGAUGUAAUAUCCUGGAGUUAGCAACACAUUAAAGCACAGAUCCAAGAACACAUAAACCAUAGGUGAGACUUGACACAAAUUGGUUUAAGCUCCUGCUAUGAAAACAAAUGGUGUAGCUGUAUCCUGCAAGUCCUAGGAUCCUCCGGACAGCGACAGGAAGACAAGCAGAAAUGACAAGAUAGGACAAGAGGUCACGCUCUCAAAAUUUGUGAGCUAUUUCACCAGACUUCCUUUCUCUCCUGCCAAUGCACAGUCAUCUGCCAUCUGGGUGGGGAAAGAAGGUGACUUAUUGAAGGCGCUGAGAAACACAUGGAAAUUAAUGGAUUCAGUGAACCCUGACCCUGCCUCAGAAGAACUAAAACACAGCACUCUACCAGACACUCUGAAGAAAGCAAUUCCAUCCCAGCUGAAACUAAGACAGUUACAACCCUCUCUAAGUAGAACCACGUUGCUGAACCGGGAGCUUCAACCAAACAGGGCAGGACUGACCACACACCUUUGCUUGCACAGACCUGCUGAGGUGCAAAGGAUUAACACUGAGUGCCUGUACAUCUCUACAUAGCACGUGCAGCUGGGCCAAGUGCAGAAAGAAGUCACAAGAGAUGUUCAGUGCCUUCCUUCAGAGCCCCAGGCAUGGAUGGAUAUCUUGACCGAGAGGAAGUUUGGGGAGGAAAGGGGCCUUCUUAGGCACAUCUGUCAAAGGGAAUCACAAUUCAAUCUCAUUUUCUACUCCGUGGAAGAACAGAUGUAAAUUAAAAGCGAAGAACAGCAAUAGCCAAUUACCAGAAAACAAGUAGUUAUCAACCAGCUGGUUCCAUAAUGAUACGGGAUGCCCUCCCUUCACCUUUCAGAGUGGAGGGGAUUCGUUUCACCCUCCAUCAGCAUAGCUCCCAAAACUGCCCCAAGUCUGAGGUAAGAAGAGAUCAGCUUAUGUCAAUAAGGGUUGUUUGUAGCUGAAGUUUCAUUCCCUGCUGUUUCUGCAAGAUAGACCUCACUUCUAACCUUCCCAGAUUCAAGGACAAGGCACCAAAAAGAGUACAGGCAUUCAUGUCUGCCUCAUUCAUGUGUGAGGCUCCAACAGCUUCCAGCUACUUCAGUCACACCAUCACAUCCCAGCCAGAUGAAUCUAGGCACUCUGCAGGACUUGUCUGUGGGAUUACUCUGUGACAGCACAAAGGUCUGGAUGACAUGAAAGUUGAGAGGAUGUGUCAGCACCAUCCUGGAAUCACCCCCAAAAAAAUCUAUGGUUGUUGAAGUACCCUUUCAUGAGUCCUUAAUAUAACCAAAAUCUGGUUCUAUCUUACUCUAAUCACUGAUGCACUUGAUGCUCCUGACAGUUCCUAUUAUUGUGAAUUUUAAAGCUAAUUAUAGUUUCAAAUAAAUCCUAUUUGUGCUUAUGGGAGUUAAUCAUCUGGAUGUCCCUGGCUGAGGGGUUUAGCCUACACAAGGUUGUG